AUAAUAAUUAGGUUUUUAAUUGAAAUCUAGAAUGAAUGAUUGGACGAGAUACAGGCUGUUUUAUAAUAAUUAAUUAAAACUUAAUUUUUUAGUCAAAAAGCUAAAAUUUUAUUAAAAGACGAGAAGACCCUAUAAAUCUUUAUAAUAAAUUUAUUUUAAUGAAUUAUUUUAUUUAAAUUAAUAGUUUUAAUAAUAAAUUAUUUUAUUGGGGUGAUACAAAAAUUUAAUUAACUUUUUUAUUUAUAUUACUUAAAUUAAAGAUUUAUAAAAACUUGAUCUACUAUUAGUAAUUCAGAGAAUAAGAUACUUUAGGGAUAACAGCGUAAUUUUAAUUUUAAGUUCUCAUUAAAAUUAAAGAUUGC
rnacentral:rRNA from 1 species